UUCAAAGGUAGCGCCACUGUAUUCUCUGCGCCUAGAACGUAAUGUUUUCCCAGGUUUUCCUCAGAAAGCAGCAAAACAAACAAAACUCUCCUUUUUCUGUUCGAAUUUGGCUCUGUUUACACUACCUCUCUGUCAUUGAUUCUGAUUCAUUAAAUUGCAAUUACUAUGGAACCCCCUGUUCAAUCUACAAAUUCUGGUGUUGAUACAGGAUCAGAAUCCUUCCGUGAAUCAAGUAGGGGGCCUAAUAGCAACCAGCGUUUCCUCCUUUACUAUCCUUGGUAACUAUUUUGGGCCUGACCUGAAAGAGGAGUGCCCACCAAAGUCAAUUUUGCAAAGAAGAUCUGAGGGCCUGUCAACAUAUACUUCAGAUCAACUAGCUGGUUGCCUGGUUCACGUAUUGAAACAGUAGAAGUGGAGAAGUUGUACUAUUAUGCACUUCGGAAAGCACAACAAUCUCUUGCCGUGAAAUUACAUGUAUUAAACCAAUUCUUGCAUGGCACUAUACCUACCUCUGAAAAUGACCCAACUGCUGUUUACCCGCAGUUUCCUGAUCUCUUUCCUCCACAAUUGCAUUGUUAUAAAUGGUUCAAAAAUAACUAUAUCAUUGAAAACAUCAUAUUCAUUCUUGAUCCAGAUGCCUCUUAUAUUAAGCGGAAAGAAAUUAAAAAGGUUUAAGAGGCUAACUAGGCCCGAGAAUCCCUUAUUGUAUGUACUUGGGCCAAGAUAUCAUGCAUUUCUGGAUGUCAGCACUUCAUAUGAUAUGCCAGUGCAGGGAGCUGAAGAAUUGCCUCCUGUCAAGCCUUCUUAUAGUUCUCAUAGAGCAGAACGUCCUGCUAGCAUCUUGCAAUCUGCAGAUCAGCAUGUCCACGAUGUGGCACCUCUUCAAAUUGUGCCAGAUAAUGCCUUACCUCCACUGUAGAGUUCUACAACUCCUCUGCCAAUCAAAGGUGACACCAGAACUGUGGAGACGGUAAGUCCGGGAAUGUUCCAGAACUGUGGAGACGGUCAGUCCGGGAAUGUUCUUUUUUCCUUCCUACCGAAAUAACAAAGAGUGGGAGCAAACUUAUAAAAGUGAAGUGGCAUUGACUGGGAGUGCUGCUACGGGGCAGGUCGGACCCAUUAUUGAACUCAUGGACGUUGGUGAAAGUGAGGAUGCAUAUUUGUUUCUUGUAUCUCUUCCCGGGGUGAAAUGGGAUUGGGGUAAGUUUCUUACUAUGAUCAAUGUAGUUUGCCUUUAUAUUUAUACAAGUUCAAAAGGAAUUAUUCUUAGCAUUCUAUCCUUCUCUGCCUGUAUUGAAAUGCUUGAGAUUGUUUAUGAAUGUUAUAUUUAUUCAUGUAGCAGCUUACUGUUAGACACCAUAGAACAACAUUUCAACUUUCG
rnacentral:misc_RNA from 1 species